rnacentral:rRNA from 1 species
UACAGAGGUCCCAAGCGUUGUUCGGAUUCAUUGGGCGUAAAGGGUGCGUAGGUGGCAUGGUAAGUCGGGUGUGAAAUCCCUCGGCUUAACCGGGGAACUGCGUCUGAUACUGGAUGGCUUGAGUGUGGGAGAGGGAUGCGGAAUUCCAGGUGUAGCGGUGAAAUGCGUAGAUAUCUGGAGGAACACCGGUGGCGAAGGCGGCAUCCUGGACCAUUACUGACACUGAAAAGCGAAAGCCAGGGGAGCAAACGGG